rnacentral:lncRNA from 1 species
UCUAUAGCUCCUCCAGGAAGGGUGUAAAAAAAACUAUGGCUGAAUGAAUUCAAUUGCAUUAACAGCAGUUACAGAGCUGGUAAGUAUUAGAUCUAGUGUUUCAAUUGUGGGUUCUGAAUUUGAGACCAUCUAUCAAUAGACUAUGCCAAAAGUCCAAUGAUGUGCUCAACAUAUGAAAAAGAUGUCUAUGAAGUCAUAGACCCAAGGAGGAACUUUAACAACAUAACACUAUUAAGUAAAACUGGUCAAAGAAUUGGCCCUUGAGUCAGGAUGAUUCCUUUACCUGAGUUCAAAUCUGGGCUUAAACAUUUAAUACUUGUGAGAGCCUAGCGGAAGCAGUCAUUAUUUGCUUUAGUUUCCUGAAGUGUAAAAUGAGCAGGAGAAGAAAAAGUCAAACCAUCACAGAUUCUUUGUUAAAAAAUCCAAAUGGGAUUGCAAAGAAUAAGAUAUGAUGGAAAAAUUACUGGAAAUCACCCAUUGAAUUCUUGAUAACAUCCACUUUUAAGUUGUUCUUUUUAAAAAAAUAGAUCAAUUAUAUUCUAAAAGCACCUUAUAAAAAUGUUUCUCUCCAAAUUCUAUAUGAUAUUGAACUUGUGGGUUCCUUUUGUCUAGAAGAAACUUAUAAUAACCCAAGGAAAAGCUCCCUAAAGGAAAGAGAAGCUGGAAUAUCCAUGAAAACAAAACAAUUUUUUAUGAUAACUUCAGAUCAAUGUUAUUUGGAUUGUAUGUAUCACACAAGCCACUUUUUCUAUUCUCCCCAAAAUUCUCAUCUUCUACAAUAGCAACUAUUAAAUUUAUAGUUGGUUGGACUUAAUAAUAUUAAUUGGUGGUUUCCAGGUAUUAAAUUUCUAAAUCCCAAAUGAAUUACUAAAGUAGAAUGGAAUUUAUGGUAGUUUUAUUUAAAAUAGAGGUAAGAUAUUAGAGAGAGAGAGAGAGAGAGAGAGAGAGAGAGAGAGAGAGAGAGAGAGAGAGAGAGAGAGAGAGAGAGAGAGAGAGAGGGACAGGGAGAGGGAGGGAGGAAGAGAA